CAGUAAAGAACCAGGGUCCAAGUCGAUAGAGAGCCUAUUAGAUUAACCUGGCCAUUCCUGGUAAUGCAGUCAGUCAAUGGAUUUUCCAUGGUCAACUGCAGUGUGUCUAUGCUUAAGUCCACCCAUCCCUCCUCUUAACGGUGGAAUCAUGUAAGACAAAGACGGAGACUGAUCCCACGUCCAUCGAGAAUCCUCAGGAAACUAACAUCGGGGUGGAAUACUCGAUCGUAAAGGAUUCAAAGGCCAGUCUAAAAGAGCUGUAGCGUUUAGAAUGCCGGCAUCUCCAUUGAGCUCCGCUGGUCUCCCCCAGGUCUCAAGAUGAUUCCCCAGCAUAGCCAGCCAAUGAAGCUACCAGGAGGAGGUUUAUGCAGGACUUCUAAAGUGUCGCUUUUCAUAAUGUGGCCGAUAGAGUGAGGAUCCAGACCUCCCAGCGCUCUCCCUGGCCUCGAGCCCACACACUUGCACGCAGGAGAUAAAACUCUGCCGCUAUGCUUUUUUUUCCCGUUUAUUGGAUAGGAGGUGAGGGGCGAGGGGGGGCCGGG
ensembl:lncRNA